GAGGGUAUAGGUCAGUGGUAGAGCACAUGCUUAGCAUGCAUGAGGUCCUGGGCUCAAUCCUCAGUAUUUCCA
rnacentral:tRNA from 1 species